UACGGUAGGGGGCUAGCGUUGUCCGGAAUCAUUGGGCGUAAAGCGCGUGUAGGCGGCCCGGUAAGUCCGCUGUGAAAGUCGGGGGCUCAACCCUCGGAAAGCCGGUGGAUACUGUCGGGCUCGAGUACGGAAGAGGCGAGUGGAAUCCUGGUGUAGCGGUGAAAGUGCGCAGAGUAUCAGGAGGAACACCAAUUGCGAAGGCAGCUCGCUGGGACGUAACUG
rnacentral:rRNA from 1 species